rnacentral:misc_RNA from 1 species
GGACUACUGGGGUUUCUAAUCCUGUUUGAUACCCGCACCUUCGAGCUUAAGCGUCAGUUGCGCUCCCGUCAGCUGCCUUCGCAAUCGGAGUUCUUCGUCAUAUCUAAGCAUUUCACCGCUACACGACGAAUUCCGCCAACGUUGUGCGUACUCAAGGAAACCAGUAUGCGCUGCAAUUCAGACGUUGAGCGUCUACAUUUCACAACACACUUAAUCUCCAGCCUACGCUCCCUUUAAACCCAAUAAAUCCGGAUAACGCCUGGACCUUCCGUAUUACCGCGGCUGCUGGCAGG